CACACGACUCUCGGCAAUGGAUAUCUCGGCUCUCGCAUCGAUGAAGAACGUAGCGAAAUGCGAUACCUGGUGUGAAUUGCAGUAUCCCGCGAACCAUCGAGUCUUUGAACGCAAGUUGCGCCCGAGGCCACCCGGCCGAGGGCACGCCUGCCUGGGCGUCACGC
rnacentral:rRNA from 1 species